rnacentral:rRNA from 1 species
UAGGGAAUCUUCCACAAUGGACGCAAUUCUGAUGGAGCAACGCCGCGUGAGUGAAGAAGGUUUUCGGAUCGUAAAGCUCUGUUGUUGGUGAAGAAGGAUAGAGGUAGUAACUGGCCUUUAUUUGACGGUAAUCAACCAGAAAGUCACGGCUAACUACGUGCCAGCAGCCGCGGUAAUACGUAGGUGGCAAGCGUUGUCCGGAUUUAUUGGGCGUAAAGCGAGCGCAGGCGGAAGAAUAAGUCUGAUGUGAAAGCCCUCGGCUUAACCGAGGAACUGCAUCGGAAACUGUUUUUCUUGAGUGCAGAAGAGGAGAGUGGAAUUCCAUGUGUAGCGGUGGAAUGCGUAGAUAUAUGGAAGAACACCAGUGGCGAAGGCGACUCUCUGGUCUGCAACUGACGCUGAGGCUCGAAAGCAUGGGUAGCGAACAGG